rnacentral:sRNA from 1 species
GCUGGGCAUGGUGACUCAUGCCUGUAAUCCCAGCUACUAGGAAGACUGAGACAGGAGGAUCUCAUGUUUGAGACUAAUCUCAGCAACUCAGUGAGACCCUCUCUCAA